GACGAACGCUGGCGGCGUGCUUAACACAUGCAAGUCGAACGGAAAGGCCCUGCUUUUGUGGGGUGCUCGAGUGGCGAACGGGUGAGUAACACGUGAGUAACCUGCCCUUGACUUUGGGAUAACUUCAGGAAACUGGGGCUAAUACCGGAUAGGAGCUACUGCUGCAUGGUGGGGGUUGGAAAGUUUCGGCGGUUGGGGAUGGAUUCGCGGCUUAUCCGCUUGUUGGUGAGGUAGUGGCUUACCAAGGGUUUGACGGGUAGGCGGCAUGGGAGGGUGACCGGGCACAUUGCGACUGCGGGACGGCGCAGACGCGUACGGGCGGCAGUAGGGGGGAGCAUUGCAGAGUGGGGGCGAGCGUGAGGCAGCAACGUCGGGUGCGGAAUGCCGGGCUACUGGGGGAGAACAGCUUUCGCCUGUACCGAGGAGGGAGUGACGGUAAUGAGUAAGAAAGCACCGGCUAACUACGUG
rnacentral:rRNA from 1 species